rnacentral:lncRNA from 1 species
CCCCCAAAAAGUGUACAUCAACCAUUUUCAGAUUUCAAGAGAAGAAUCAGUCAUUCUUAAUAAAAAGAAGAUCCUGUCUAUUAUAUUUUAGUUUAAUAUAGAAAUUUGCUUUGAAAAAAAACUAAAACAUAUCUGACUGUUUUAUUUGAUGACAUCUAUCUAUGCUUGUGUUUUGUCAGAAUAAAGAGUACAAAAAUUAGUGUUUCCCCUAUCACACAGUGGUAAUGGUAACUCCAAUAAAAAAGGGCACCUAGAGCAUGCAAAAG